AUGGCCUGGACCCCUCUCCUGCUCACCCUCCUGGCUCACUGCACAGGGUCCUGGGCACAGACUGGGCUGACCCAGGAAGCCUCAGUGUCAGGGUCUGUGGGUCAGAAGGUCACCCUCACUUGCACUGGAAACAGCAACAAUGUUGGAACUUAUAAUGCAGGCUGGUAUCAGCAGUUUCCUGGAGGUGCCCCCAAAACAGUGAUGAUUGGAACUUCUCAUCCAUCAGGGAUCCCAGCUCGGUACUCAGGCUCCAAGUCUGGCAGCACGGCCUCCUUGACCAUCUCUGGCCUCCAGCCUGAGGACGAGGCUGAUUAUUACUGUUCAACAUGGGAUAGUAGCCUCAGAGCUGACACAGUGCUCCAGACGCAGGGGGAACUGAGACAAAAACCUGCCUCUGCCCUCUGUGAGGCUGACCCCCUCCUGUGA